rnacentral:piRNA from 1 species
CGCUGUAAGCUCUAAGACAGGCAU